rnacentral:rRNA from 1 species
AGGAUUCUCCUAGUAACGGCGAGUGAACGGAGAUUAGCCCAUCACCGAAGCCUGCGUGUGUUUGCAUGCUAGGCAAUGUGGUGUUAAGGUGUGUACCUGGGAUCGUGUACCUACCCGAAGUCUAAAUCCGAUUGUGGCUUUGGAUUCAUUCCAUAGCGGGUGAAAGUCCCGUGCGGGUAGGACUAUUGCAAAUCGCACGGUCCUCAGAUGUGCAUGCUUUCGAGUCGGAUUGCUUGAGAAUGCAGUCCAAAGUGGGUGGUAAACUCCAUCCAAGGCUAAAUACUGGCACGAGUCCGAUAGUAGACAAGUACCGUGAGGGAAAGUUGAAAAGUACUCUGAAGAGAGAGUAAAUAGUACGUGAAGCCGAUUGCAGGGAAGCUGGUGGAGUCAAGCUUCGUGCUUGGUGGAUUGAUGCUGGGAGCAGGUGUGUGAUUUGGAUGUGAGGAUGGACAACUUGGAAUAAGUUGGGUGUGUUCUGAAUGCACUUCAAGUCAUUCCGGGUAGAGUGUUAUGAGCUGUCCUCGCUUUCCUACUCUCAGUGUUGUAUUCACCGCUGCACAGGCCACAGUCAGUAGGUGCAUGCGGUAUGAGGGCCUAACUGUGCUUCGGCGGGUGCAAGCUCGCCGGGUGCAGGAUGGCAGGUGCUGUCUUCGGGCCUUGUGUCUGUUGAUAGUUGUUGUGGUUUUGACCGGCUGGUCCUCAUACUGUAUUGUGCUUAUUGCCUAUGAGUGGCGUAGCUUCCUCGGAAGUUGCGCUCUGUAGAACUGUGGCUCUGAGGUAGA